UCGGGAGUCGGGCGGACGUGGCAUUCGCCAACCCGGUCAGGUCCUGACGGAAGCAGCCGUAACGAUAUUCGCUGCGGGUCGUCCGGCUCCUACUUU
rnacentral:SRP_RNA from 1 species